AGUGGUACCUGGCACUGAUGGCUGCCGCUUUUGACCACGAUUACAGCCUCGCCCUCUGGGGGCCGUCAUCUCCCACUCCCUCCAGCAGGCCCUUCAUCCGGGACUUUUGUGCACCCCGAAGUUCCAGUGCCAUUCCUGUUUCCUUUGAGUGUAGCAUAAUGCCUUUUCCUGCAGCUUUUUAAAGAGCUCUGGAGAGCAGAGAAUGCUUGAAAAAAUGCAGGAAAGGAAACACCCUAAUUACCCAAAUGUGUCACGCAGUGACCCGCCUGACACGAAUCCCUAGGAAACCGAGGGGUCCAGGCUCCUUGGUCAGCAGUCUGGGUGGGAGGGAGCCUGUGCACCAUUGCUGGGCGUCGCCCCUUGCCAUCCAGGACCUUCCCAGCAAGGGCCAGCUGGCAGUGAACACCUUGGUGUUCCUUUCAGAACCAGCGGCAGAGGCUGGAGGUGGAGCUGGUGGGCCUGAAGACCGACAGGGUCGUCCUGGAGGAGUCUGAGAACCUGAACAUGGUGCUGAUGCUGUCCCACUUCGGCCUGCAAGUAACGGACACGGCGUAAAGUGGUGCCCCACCCCUGCCCCGAUGGGGACCCCAGGAUAUCAAGCAUGAGUGCUGAGGUCGACGUCCACGGAGGCAUCUCUCUGAGCGGAGGGAGGAUGGAGAAUCCCAGGGCCUUGCAGACCGGCAGUCAGCACAGCUCUGCUGAGCGAGGAGAAAUAAAUCGUGCGUGUGUGUUUGUGUUUGCACAACAGACUCAAUCUGUCUUUUGUGUCUGGGGCUCAGCAGAGCAUCUGCCCUGUGAGGACUCCUCCCAUGGGCUAAGAGUUGAGCAGCUUUGUCUUGGGAAGAUUCAAGUAGAGUGCAUCUGUCUCUCUGCAUCUAACAUCCACAGAGAGUUCAAGUGCACACCCACCCUCACAGGGAACACAGGCCGAGCAGCCCCCUGUGUGUGCACCCGCCUUCCUCUCGUGGUCAGUCUCUGUGACUCAGGCAUGCUUUGGUGUCCUCUACUGAAUUAUGAGGACAGCAGUCGCCACCCAUCAGCCUCAAAGGGUGGGGUGAAGAUCGAGUGACACAGCAGCUUGCCUGAGUCCCUCAGAAGCUGACCCUGAGACAGGAAUUGCAUGCAAGUGAGUUACUGCGGAGGUGAUCCCAGGUAGGAGGUUGGCGCAGUGAGGCAGGGAAGCAAAGACAGCCAUGAAACC
rnacentral:lncRNA from 1 species